rfam:Gossypium hirsutum cultivar TM-1 chromosome 26, whole genome shotgun sequence
AUUAAAAAAAUUCAUCCAUCCAUUUGUACUGCUAAAAUAUUGGCAUAGAUGACGAAAUAACCAAACAAUAACACGUGGCAUGCCACAUGUACAUUGUGCUGAUGUACAGGGACCAGUUUUUAAUAGUAGAAAUGGAUGAAAUGUUUUACA